GGAAAGAUGAAAAGAACUUUGAAAAGAGAGUUAAACAGUACGUGAAAUUGUUGAAAGGGAAACGAUUGAAGUCAGUCAUACCAACGGGAAAUCAACCUUUUGAGUUUGGUCUUGUGGGUUUCGGAGAGUUUAAAAGCCUUCGGAUUCGUUAGGAUUGGGUUCUUUUGGUGUACUUUCUCGUAAGGUUAGUCAACAUCGGUUUUGAAUGUCAUAAAAUGACUGGAGGAAUGUGGCUUCGAUCUCGUAUCGAAGUGUUAUAGCCUUUGGUAGAUGUGAUGUUCGAGUCCGAGGAUUGCAAUGGAUACCCUUCUGGGCUAUUCGUCUGAUCUCUGAUACGUUGCCUUGAUGUCGAAAGCUUGCUUAUGAUGUUAGGGUAUUACGGUCAAAAGGUUAGAACGGAUUAAAUUCGUUAAGGAUGUUGACGUAAUGACUUUAAACGACCCGUCUUGAAACACGGACCA
rnacentral:rRNA from 1 species